rnacentral:lncRNA from 1 species
UCGAGUUUUAAGAGACGUAUUUUGAUAUUUUCUCCUUGAAGUUUCUUGGCUUGAAAAGGCAAAUACUUUGAAGAGAUUAUUAUUAGUGUUUUGGGAUUUUCCUUUGUGAUCUAAUCUACGAUUCACUAAUUAUUAUUCAUCUCUGUAACUUAAUCUUCUCAAUUAUGUGUUUCAUUCUUUGCAUCAUGAGUGGCUAAUCUCCG